rnacentral:rRNA from 1 species
CCUACGGGAGGCAGCAGUGGGGAAUAUUGGACAAUGGGCGAAAGCCUGAUCCAGCCAUGCCGCGUGUGUGAAGAAGGCCUUCGGGUUGUAAAGCACUUUCAGUGGGGAAGAAAGCCUUGGGGCUAAUACCCUCGAGGAAGGACAUCACCCACAGAAGAAGCACCGGCUAACUCCGUGCCAGCAGCCGCGGUAAUACGGAGGGUGCGAGCGUUAAUCGGAAUUACUGGGCGUAAAGCGCGCGUAGGCGGUCUGAUAAGCCGGUUGUGAAAGCCCCGGGCUCAACCUGGGAACGGCAUCCGGAACUGUCAGGCUAGAGUGCAGGAGAGGAGGGUAGAAUUCCAGGUGUAGCGGUGAAAUGCGUAGAGAUCGGGAGGAAUAACAGUGGCGAAGGCGGCCUUCUGGACUGACACUGACGCUGAGGUGCGAAAGCGUGGGUAGCAAACAGGAUUAGAUACCCGGGUAGUC